UUCGGAAACUAGCCAACUGACGUUAUUAGUGAACUGAUUUGUUCACAAUUGUUGCCAACACUCUUUAAUGAGCGUUGGCUUUUUUUUU
rnacentral:sRNA from 1 species